rnacentral:rRNA from 1 species
CACGUAAGGGGCGAGCGUUGUUCGGAAUUAUUGGGCGUAAAGGGCGUGCAGGCGGCCCUGCAAGUCUGUUGUGAAAUCCCGGGGCUUAACUCCGGAUCCGCGAUGGAAACUGCUGGGCUUGAAUCUUGGAGGGGGAGUUGGAAUUCCUAGUGUAGGGGUGAAAUCUGUUGAUAUUAGGAAGAACACCGGUGGCGAAGGCGAACUCCUGGCCGAAGAUUGACGCUGAGGCGCGAAAGCGUAGGUAGCAAACAGG